rnacentral:lncRNA from 1 species
AGCUUCCCAGGUAGCACACCUACGUGUUUCCAACGUUGAAAUUUGGUUGUUGAGGUUGAAUAACCGUUAGCGGUUGAAUUUUUCAACGUUUUAAAUGCAACGUUGUUUUCAACGGUUGAUCUAUCGUUGAAAACACGUUGAAAACGAGCUUCCAAUUCCACCACUCACAGCGCUACAGUAGUCCUUACACAAAAACGGAUCUAUCAACAACGAUCGACUGAUCAACGCCAUUUCAUGUUUGAAUUCUCAUCACGUUGAUGAAAGCUGUGAACUCUUUUAGAAGAGUCUACCUAUUCCACUUUGACUUGAUUCUAUCAAAAAAUCAUGUGGGUCGACUGUGGGCAUUGAGACCAAAAUUGAAGACGCUAUUAAGGAUUGGCUAAAAUAUGCGGCAGAGUAUUUUCAGUGGAGAAAAAACAAUCUAAUUUCGUCGGUAAUUAAAAAGUAUUAUGAAAUGAAA